AUAUACAGGCAGUCUCAGUGUGUGUGUGUGAGAUAUACAGGCAGUCUCUGUGUGUGUGUGAGAUAUACAGGCAGUCUCUGUGUGUGUGUGUUAUAUGCAGGCAGUCUCUGUGUGUGUGAUAUAUACAGGCAGUCUCUGUGUGUGUGUGAUAUAUACAGGCAGUCUCUGUGUGUGUGUGAUAUAUACAGGCAGUCUCUGUGUGUGUGAUAUAUACAGGCAGUCUCUGUGUGUGUGUGAUAUAUACAGGCAGUCUCAGGGUGUGUGUUAUAUGCAGGCAGUCUCAGUGUGUGUGUGUGUGAUAUAUACAGGCAGUCUCAGUGUGUGUUAUAUACAGGCAGUCUCAGUGUGUGUGUUAUAUGCAGGCAGUCUGUGUGUGUGUGUGUGUGUGUUUAUUUAUAUACAGGCAGUAUUUAUAUUUGUUGCUCAGACAAUCUCUAGAGGUGCAGCCCUACAAUAUAUGCAGACAACGUUGUUCAGUGUCUUCAAACUCCACAUAAGAAAUGCCUUUAUGUAAUGUAUCUGUAUGACGAAAUGCUAAUUGGCGCAGUUUGGCAUUAGUCCCCACUUGCUUUUUUUUUUUAUUGGGAAGUAUUGGAUUAGCUGAGAUCCUCAUCAUCGCUGAUUAUCCUAGUUGGGAAAACACAUAGCUGUGGGAAAAUUGCGUCAGCAAGGGACUAAAGUUGAAUAAAAACGUGUUUUAUAGAAGAAAUAAAAUCUAAAUCAUAUACUGAUUAGAUUUUGUAUUCUUUCACUUACUUUGCAUUGUGUGAAUAGAUAAAAAGAAACUAUUAACAUUUCUAGUUUUGAAAGCAGUUUUACUUUAACCCCUUAAGACCGCAGCCAAAUGUACAACUUGUGAUCAAAACAAAAUGUAAACAAAACCUGGCAUUUGCGCUACAUGUCUGUCCAACCUUAAUUCACCUCUUUCAUAUUAAAUGCACCCACACUUAUUAUAUAUCAUUUUAUUCAGGGGAAACAGGGCUUUCAUUUAACAUCAAAUAUUUAGGUAUGGAACAUAAUUUAAUAUGAAAAAAAUGGGAGAAAAUAAGAUUUUUUUUUACAUUUUCUUAGUUCUACGUGACAUUUUAACUGUGAAUGUCAAAAUACUGUUUGCUUUUACUGUAGUAACAUACACAUAUUUGUAUUCAGCGAUGUCUCACAUGUAAAACAGUACUCCCUAUGUAAAGGUUUUAUGGUGUUUUGGGAAGUUACAGGGUCAAAUAUAGCGUGUUACAAAUUUCAUUUUUUUCACAUUGAAAUUCGCCAGAUUGGUUACGUUGCCUUUGAGACCAUAUGGUAGCCCAGGAAUAAGAAUUACC